rnacentral:rRNA from 1 species
UUCUCCUGGAAAACGGGUGGUAAUGCCGGAUGCUCCGACUCCUCGCAUGGGGUGUCGGGAAAGAUUUCAUCGGUAUGGGAUGGGGUCGCGUCCUAUCAGGUAGUCGGCGGGGUAACGGCCCACCGAGCCUACGACGGGUAGCCGGCCUGAGAGGGCGACCGGCCACAUUGGGACUGAGAUACGGCCCAGACUCCUACGGGAGGCAGCAGUGGGGAAUAUUGCACAAUGGGCGCAAGCCUGAUGCAGCGACGCCGCGUGCGGGAUGACGGCCUUCGGGUUGUAAACCGCUUUUGAUCGGGAGCAAGCCUUCGGGUGAGUGUACCUUUCGAAUAAGCACCGGCUAACUACGUGCCAGCAGCCGCGGUAAUACGUAGGGUGCAAGCGUUAUCCGGAAUUAUUGGGCGUAAAGGGCUCGUAGGCGGUUCGUCGCGUCCGGUGUGAAAGUCCAUCGCUUAACGGUGGAUCUGCGCCGGGUACGGGCGGGCUGGAGUGCGGUAGGGGAGACUGGAAUUCCCGGUGUAACGGUGGAAUGUGUAGAUAUCG